GGAUGUGAGGGCGAUCUGGCUGCGACAUCUGUCACCCCAUUGAUCGCCAGGGUUGAUUCAGCUGAUCUGGCUGGCUAGGCGGGUGUCCCCUUCCUCCCUCACCGCUCCAUGUGCAUCCCUCCCGAAGCUGCGCGCUUGGUCGAAGAGGACGACCUUCCCUGAAUAGAGGAGGACUGGUCUUCGGUCAAGGGUAUACGAGUAGCUGUGCUCCCCCGCUAGAACCUCCAAACAAGCUCUCUCUCUCUCUCUCAUAAAAGUAGGUGAUUUAUUGUAGUAAAAUUUUCUAACCAUGAUUUUUGUAUUUUAUUAAUUUAUCAAA
rnacentral:snRNA from 1 species